UUAAGUUCAGCGGGUAUCCCUACCUGAUCCGAGGUCAACCUUAAGAAGUUGGGGUUAUGGCAAGUAACCGUCAAGACCCUGUAGCGAGAAUAAUUACUACGCUGAGAGCCUAACGGCACCGCCACUGUGUUUAGAGGCCGCUGCAAAGCGGACCCCAAUACCAAGCAAGGCUUGAUUGGUGAUAUGACGCUCGAACAGGC
rnacentral:misc_RNA from 1 species